rnacentral:rRNA from 1 species
AUGUUGGGUUAAGUCCCGUAACGAGCGCAACCCUCGUCCUUAGUUGCCAGCGAGUCAAGUCGGGAACUCUAAGGAGACUGCCGGUGAUAAACCGGAGGAAGGUGGGGAUGAUGUCAAGUCAUCAUGGCCCUUACGGGUAGGGCUACACACGUGCUACAAUGGGCAGUACAAAGGGUUGCCAAGCCGCGAGGUGGAGCUAAUCCCAGAAAACUGCUCGUAGUCCGGAUUGGAGUCUGCAACUCGACUCCAUGAAGUUGGAAUCGCUAGUAAUCGCGAAUCAGCAUGUCGCGGUGAAUACGUUCUCGGGCCUUGUACACACCGCCCGUCACACCAUGGGAGUGAAUUGUACCAGAAGCGGGUAGGCUAACCUUCGGGAGGCCGCUCACCACGGUAUGAUCCAUGACUGGGGUGAAGUCGUAACAAGGUAGCCGUAGGGGAACCUGCGGCUGGAUCACCUCCUUACUU